GUAAUGCCGGAUGUUCCACAUGAUCGCAUGUGAUUGUGGGAAAGAUUCUAUCGGCGUGGGAUGGGGUCGCGUCCUAUCAGCUUGUUGGUGAGGUAACGGCUCACCAAGGCUUCGACGGGUAGCCGGCCUGAGAGGGCGACCGGCCACAUUGGGACUGAGAUACGGCCCAGACUCCUACGGGAGGCAGCAGUGGGGAAUAUUGCACAAUGGGCGCAAGCCUGAUGCAGCGACGCCGCGUGAGGGAUGGAGGCCUUCGGGUUGUAAACCUCUUUUGUUUGGGAGCAAGCCUUCGGGUGAGUGUACCUUUCGAAUAAGCGCCGGCUAACUACGUGCCAGCAGCCGCGGUAAUACGUAGGGCGCAAGCGUUAUCCGGAUUUAUUGGGCGUAAAGGGCUCGUAGGCGGCUCGUCGCGUCCGGUGUGAAAGUCCAUCGCUUAACGGUGGAUCUGCGCCGGGUACGGGCGGGCUGGAGUGCGGUAGGGGAGACUGGAAUUCCCGGUGUAACGGUGGAAUGUGUAGAUAUCG
rnacentral:rRNA from 1 species